rnacentral:rRNA from 1 species
CAGCCGCCGCGGUAAAACCAGCACCUCGAGUGGUCAGGAGGUUUAUUGGGCCUAAAGCAUCCGUAGCCGGUUGCAUAAGUUUUCGGUUAAAUCUAUGCGCUUAACGUAUAGGCCGCCGAAAAUACUGUGCAGCUAGGGAGUAGGAGAGGUACACGGUACUCGAUAGGAAGGGGUAAAAUCCUUUGAUCUAUUGAUGACCACCUGUGGCGAAGGCGGUGUACCAGAACACGUUCGACGGUGAGGGAUGAAAGCUGGGGGAGCAAACCGGAUUAGAGACCCCAGUAGUCCCUGUCUCUUAUAA